ensembl:lncRNA LINC00207 long intergenic non-protein coding RNA 207
AGGGAGGAGGGGGAGAGGGAUGCAGAGGGAUGAACUGAGUGGCCUGAGUCUCAGCACAGCUGUGGCCAUGGGCUGCCUCCAUGUCCAGGAACACCAGGUCUGCCAUGCACCACCCACCUGCCCCCAUGUUUGCACAGGGCACCGGGGAAGACCUUCAGCCCUACUGGGCUACCCCUUGAGUACCCUCUCCUCCCACAUUGGAAGGUCUUCUGCUUCCUGGAGCUUGGCCUGCCUCGGGAGGAGGAGAAAAUGGUCCAUGUCCCCAGAGAGCCCAUGAUGUGCCGGCCUAGGUGAGCACUCUUCGCACCUCAUGCCAUGGAACUUUUGCCACAGCCCUACCCACUUUACGGAUGAGGAAAUGGAGGCUCGGGAGAUGAAGCUGGCAGACUUCCUCUGGAACUUCCUCUGGACAUCUGGAGGGACGUCCUGUCAGCAGAGCAGGCUGGACUGCUUCACAAAGAGGAUGCAGCCCCACCUCCCAGCGGGAGUCAGUUCUGCUCUGAGACGUGAGGCUCAGAAUCAGAUGAAGACUCCUGCUGCUGCAUCUUGAAGAUAAUGAUGCUGUUGCUCCCGGCUGGAACCACAGCAGUGGCGAUGAGUGAACAGCCAGCAGAGUGGAGCGGCCACACUGAUACAGGUGAGGCUCCAGCACUGCCGCAGCCCAGGGCCAGGCAAAACCGCCUUCCUAUCCCCCGGGAGCCGAGGCCUCCGAGAUCGGCGCUGGGAGGUCGCACAGUGCAGGCAAAUCACACGGACCUCAGAGCAGGGUCCCUGGCCGUGAAAACUCAAAAGACACAGUCUUUAAAAUAAGGACAGAAAACUGUAUUUAGUGCCACAAUAAAGCUGUGUCACAAACUACCCAAAA